UCAUAAUUCUGAUAUGAUAUGAUUAGUUUUUGUAAACGGGUCAUAUUUGACCCGAGGACCACAGGAGGGUUAAAGAAACACAGGACUGUAUUGAUCAUUCUCUCUUUAUUACUGGUUAAAGCAAUAGACUAAAAAUAAAUCAAAUAACAAUGAAAAAUAAAAAAAUAAAUUCUAUAAAAUUUCCUUUACAAUAAAAAUCAAUCUGAUGUAAGAUUAAGUUGUAAAAGGAUUGUGGGUAUCAGGAAUUAUUAACAGUCCCUGUCUGGAGUCAAAACUUGCGAAAAUCUGUCAGACAGCCAAAUCUAUCUGCAACCAAAGUUAAAUACUCACACACUAACUCAUGACUGCAUUUCCAAGAUAAGUUAUUCAUUUACCGCAGCCUAGCUCUAUUGAACAGAUAUACUUUGAUGUCAUCAUUCCUCAGAUCUUAUUGGACACUGACAGUAAGAAUUAGGCUACCGAUGUUAGACGACAGUGGACUAUAUUGACAUCAUUAUUGCUGUAUCCUGCGCACAAACAAACCAGGUUUCCAACAAGAACACAUUAACAUAUGCCAUCCGACAAGGACUCUACAAAACUCCUGUAGGAUCCAGUGUAAUUAUUGCAUCAGGUCUAAAGGGGAAUUCUGCUCGGAGGAACAAGCGCUGCAAUGUGAAAUUGUAUAUCUUGAAGCAGUAACAGCAGAGAGGUAGAGCCUAUGAGUGCGCAUCGAUUGGUACCCUCUGGGGUGCGGAUAUCAAAUGAGGAAACCCGGUCAGACAUAUGUCCGGUAAAGAAAAAAAAGAAAAAAAAGAAGAAAAAAAAAAAGUCCGGUAAAGAGAUGGCCAGACAGAAGUUCCACAGAGGUUUUGGUCCUCACAAGACGGGGAUUCAUUCAGCACUAGCGACAACAGGCUACUCCUUCUCUGCUCGUCUCAGAGUCCCCAAGAACUGAUCGCCGGACCGGUGCGUUUGACGCACAUCUUUUCCCGGGAAAGCCACCCUGUCUAACGUGGAUCAGCUGUUGCCGGCCCAAUCUGAAAGUGACCUGUUGGCUGGGCCAGAGGCUGCAACACAGGACAUGGGUCCUGCUUCCUCUUCCCGCUCGUGUCUUGUGUUGCAGCCAGUGGAGUAGCCUGUCUGCCGGUCUGUCUGCUCAUCGCUGAUGGACUGAGCUCCCACAAUCAAGGGCGAAGGUUUCGUUUCAACACUACUUCAAAAUAAAUGCCCUCUGCUACUUUUAUGUUUUUAGGGGGAACAAUGCAAUGCACAUGUUCUUAAUAUUAUAAUUAUUAUUAAAUACUAAGUAUGUAUACUGUAUAUGUAUGUAUGUACUGUAUGUGUGCUCCUUGCUUUACAGCUAGCUUGUGCCUUGUCGAGUGUAGUUUUCAUAAUCAACAUAUUGUCCUCUCUCACAGUUUAAAUAAUAAAUGAUUUAUUUCAGAGAAAAA